rnacentral:rRNA from 1 species
GACGAACGCUGGCGGCGUGCCUAACACAUGCAAGUCGAACGGAAAGGCGCUGCUUUUGUGCGGUUCUCGAGUGGCGAACGGGUGAGUAACACGUGAGUAUCCUGCACUUGACUUUGGGAGAACUUCAGGAAACUGCGGCUAAUACCGGAGAGGAGCUCCUGCUGCAUGGGGGUCGUUGGAAAGUUUCGGCGGUUGGGGAUGGACUGGCGGCUUAUCAGCUUGUUGGUGGGGUAGUGGCUUACCAAGGCUGUGACGGGUAGCCGGCCUGAGAGGGUGACCGGCGACAUGGGGCCUGAGGGAGGGAGCAGAAGGGAAUGGGAGGCAGCAGGGGGAAGUAUGACAGAAUGGGCCGAAGUGUGAGAUGACGGCGUCGGGAGCGUGAAACCGGCCUUCUGGGUGUAAACAGCUUUGGACUUUGACGAGGCGGGAGUGACGGUACUGAGUAAAGAAGCACCGGCUAACUACGUG